AGACCAAAUCCCAAGCAUCUCAGCAAUGCCAGCGUUCCUCACAGGGAGCGGAAAUUGCUGGGCCCCGGAAUGAAGCUGAAAAUGAUUGCCUGCAUAAGUUUUACCCCUUGACUGGAAUCUGGUUGGGAAUCUCUCUUGUAGCUAACAAAUGGCAAUCUUCUUCUGGAGAAGUAACUUGGACGAACUUUGCGCCCGGUGAACCUAACGGAGGUGAUCCUUGUCUCCAAAUGUGGAAUGGCCGUUAUCCUGGUAAAUGGGAUGACUUGCCUUGUGCAAGCACAUUACAUUUUAUUUGUCAAAGAGUUGCUGUGAAAUGCAAUGUUUCAGCACCAGUUUCUGGCAGCGUGAACGUUACCUCCAUCCACAUUGGUGAAAGUGUGCAGUAUGAAUGCAAUACUGGGUAUGACCUGGUGGGCCCAGCAACCGCUCACUGCACUUCUCAAGGAUCGCUAACUGAAAUGCCUAUUUGUCGAGGGCUAUUGACUGGGUACAGCUACUGUCGUCAGGUUAAUGCAGUCCUGAAACGGACUCAGGGUUCCAAAUAUAUCAACUUUACAGAUGGUCAUGACAUGUGCAGGCUAUACAAUGGCAGAUUACUAAGUGUGAGCGCGUACACGGCGAGAUGCGCAUCAACAUUGCAACAAGCAACCGGUCGUGCUGCCUGGAUCAACCAGUUCGAGCCUAAUUCAAGGGAUAGCAUUGUAUACGUCUCCACAAUAGACGGUCUUUCCACUACACCUCCGACCUCCGAAAUGGCCGUCAUAUGUGAAAUACCUUGUAAUCCUACUGCCCGGGAUCACAUCGCAAGCAUAACACAAGAUGGGUUUGUAACUUGUGAAAUUGGAUAUGCCUACCUUCACCCUCAACCAGUGUGUAAUGGAACGUCGACAAUCAAAAGU